UAAUUGAAGAGUUUGAUCAUGGCUCAGAUUGAACGCUGGCGGCAGGCUUAACACAUGCAAGUCGAGCGGUAGCACGGGGAGCUUGCUCCGGGUGACGAGCGGCGGACGGGUGAGUAAUGUCUGGGAAACUGCCUGAUGGAGGGGGAUAACUACUGGAAACGGUAGCUAAUACCGCAUAACGUCGCAAGACCAAAGAGGGGACCUUCGGGCCUCUUGCCAUCAGAUGUGCCCAGAUGGGAUUAGCUAGGUGGGGUAAUGGCUCACCUAGGCGACGAUCCCUAGCUGGUCUGAGGAUGACCAGCCACACUGGAACUGAGACACGGUCCAGACUCCUACGGAGGCAGCAGUGGGGAAUAUUGCACAAUGGGCGCAAGCCUGAUGCAGCCAUGCCGCGUGUGUGAAGAAGGCCUUCGGGUUGUAAAGCACUUUCAGCGAGGAGGAAGGUGGUGAACUUAAUACGUUCAUCAAUUGACGUUACUCGCAGAAGAAGCACCGGCUAACUCCGUGCCAGCAGCCGCGGUAAUACGGAGGUGCAAGCGUUAAUCGGAAUUACUGGCGCACGCAGGCGGUUUGUUAAGUCAGAUGAAAUCCCCGGCUCAACUGGAACUGCAUUUGAAACUGGCAAGCUAGAGUCUCGUAGAGGGGGUAGAAUUCCGUAGCGGUGAAAUGCGUAGAGAUCUGGAGGAAUACCGGUGGCGAAGGCGGCCCUCGGACGAAGACUGACGCUCAGGUGCGUGGGGAGCAAACAGGAUUAGAUACCCCGUAGUCCACGCUGUAAACGAUGUCGAUUUGGAGGUUGUGCCCUUGAGGCGUGGC
rnacentral:rRNA from 1 species